rnacentral:miRNA from 1 species
UCCUGGGGAUCGGGAGGCAGGGGGUGGCCCUGGGGGCUGCCAGAGCUCUGCAUGCUCUCCCCGGCGCUGGGGAGUGAUCUUGUAGUGCAGCUGCUCAGCUGAGCGACCAAGCCCAAAGAAAACCCCCAGCCUCCACGGCUCCAGCAACUGCAGCAUCAGUGAUCCCCUUCUCCAUGCCUUGCUGAGCUCUCACCGGGGAGAGCAUGCAGAGCUCCGGCAGCCCCCUGCCUCCCGAUCCCCGGGA